rnacentral:rRNA from 1 species
AUGCGUUGUUGGGUAGGGGAGCGUUCUGUAAGCCUGUGAAGGUGUGUCGUGAGGCAUGCUGGAGGUAUCAGAAGUGCGAAUGCUGACAUAAGUAACGAUAAAGCGGGUGAAAAGCCCGCUCGCCGGAAGACCAAGGGUUCCUGUCCAACGUUAAUCGGGGCAGGGUGAGUCGACCCCUAAGGCGAGGCCGAAAGGCGUAGUCGAUGGGAAACGGGUUAAUAUUCCCGUACUUGGUGUUACUGCGAAGGGGGGACGGAGAAGGCUAUGUUGGCCGGGCGACGGUUGUCCCGGUUUAAGCGUGUAGGCUGGUUUUCCAGGCAAAUCCGGAAAAUCAAGGCUGAGGCGUGACGACGAGGCACUACGGUGCUGAAGCAACAAAUGCCCUGCUUCCAGGAAAAGCCUCUAAGCAUCAGGUAACAUCAAAUCGUACCCCAAACCGACACAGGUGGUCAGGUAGAGAAUACCAAGGCGCUUGAGAGAACUCGGGUGAAGGAACUAGGCAAAAUGGUGCCGUAACUUCGGGAGAAGGCACGCUGACACGUAGGUGAAGUGAUUUACUCAUGGAGCUGAAGUCAGUCGAAGAUACCAGCUGGCUGCAACUGUUUAUUAAAAACACAGCACUGUGCAAACACGAAAGUGGACGUAUACGGUGUGACGCCUGCCCGGUGCCGGAAGGUUAAUUGAUGGGGUCAGCGCAAGCGAAGCUCCUGAUCGAAGCCCCGGUAAACGGCGGCCGUAACUAUAACGGUCCUAAGGUAGCGAAAUUCCUUGUCGGGUAAGUUCCGACCUGCACGAAUGGCGUAAUGAUGGCCAGGCUGUCUCCACCCGAGACUCAGUGAAAUUGAACUCGCUGUGAAGAUGCAGUGUACCCGCGGCAAGACGGAAAGACCCCGUGAACCUUUACUAUAGCUUGACACUGAACAUUGAGCCUUGAUGUGUAGGAUAGGUGGGAGGCUUUGAAGUGUGGACGCCAGUCUGCAUGGAGCCGACCUUGAAAUACCACCCUUUAAUGUUUGAUGUUCUAACGUGGACCCGUUACCCGGGUUGCGGACAGUGUCUGGUGGGUAGUUUGACUGGGGCGGUCUCCUCCUAAAGAGUAACGGAGGAGCACGAAGGUUGGCUAAUCCUGGUCGGACAUCAGGAGGUUAGUGCAAUGGCAUAAGCCAGCUUGACUGCGAGCGUGACGGCGCGAGCAGGUGCGAAAGCAGGUCAUAGUGAUCCGGUGGUUCUGAAUGGAAGGGCCAUCGCUCAACGGAUAAAAGGUACUCCGGGGAUAACAGGCUGAUACCGCCCAAGAGUUCAUAUCGACGGCGGUGUUUGGCACCUCGAUGUCGGCUCAUCACAUCCUGGGGCUGAAGUAGGUCCCAAGGGUAUGGCUGUUCGCCAUUUAAAGUGGUACGCGAGCUGGGUUUAGAACGUCGUGAGACAGUUCGGUCCCUAUCUGCCGUGGGCGCUGGAGAACUGAGGGGGGCUGCUCCUAGUACGAGAGGACCGGAGUGGACGCAUCACUGGUGUUCGGGUUGUCAUGCCAAUGGCACUGCCCGGUAGCUAAAUGCGGAAGAGAUAAGUGCUGAAAGCAUCUAAGCACGAAACUUGCCCCGAGAUGAGUUCUCCCUGAGACUUAGAGUCUCCUGAAGGAACGUUGAAGACGACGACGUUGAUAGGCCGGGUGUGUAAGCGCAGCGAUGCGUUGAGCUAACCGGUACUAAUGAACCGUGAGGCUUAACCUUACAACGCCGAAG